GGGAGGGCGGAGCGCGGGCCGCGCCACAGCGGCGGGUGGUGUGGGACGUGGUGGUGGGUUGCUGUCCCUGCGGUCGUAUCGAGGAGCUCAGUUAGGCUCCGUGAGGGGUUGCGGUGUUACUGAGGACUGCGAGAGGCCGUGAGCCCUCUCAGCUCUGCCCCUUGUGAGGAGAAGGGCCGCCCCAGCCCCGAAUGAAGAAGCUACACUGCCACCUGUGCACCCUUGUUUGACUGAUGCUUGAUCCUGUCUGCUGGGAAGGCUGGCUGAAUGGAGGCAGACCCAUCUCCUCUUUCUCUCCUCUGGAACGUGCUUUCAGUCUGCUGCUGCAGUGCAGAUUUGCAGCUGGGUUCUGCUCAGGGUGUGUGGCUGCUCGGCCUCACUGCUGCUUUCCUGCACUGGAUGCGUGCACCUCCAGGAGUGUUGGUUCUUCUGCAUCUCAGGGAAGGAGACUCAUCCUCAUCUGCGCCCUUUUCAGCUGUGAAGGAAGUGUUGGUGCAGGGUCUCCAGGAGGGCCAUAGGUCCUAUGGGCCAACCUGGGCUCAUCCACGCAGAGCUCCUCCUGGCGCAGUGUGUCUGCCAUAUCCCAGCCCUGAGCAGAUGUGGCUCAGAGAGAACGCGGCGCCACCGCAGGGAGGGGACAUCAACCUCAAUGGGCAGCGAUGGUGGCAGUGAUCCCCUUGGGCUGAGCCAUGCAGGAACCCAACCUCAUCCCAAGGGAUGGGAAUGGGGUUUGGGGUGGAGGUGGUGAUGGGAUGGGGAUGGGGAUUGGGAUGGAGAUGAGAUGGGAAUGGGGACUGGGAUGGGGAUGGUUAUGGGGAUGGCAACGGAGAUGGGGAUGGGGAUUGGGAUGGAGAUGGGGAUGGGGAUGGUGAUGGGGAUGGGGAUGACAAUGGCACUGGUGAUGAUGAUGGAGAUGGGAUGGCAGUGGGGAUGGUGAUGAGGACAGCUGCCCAGGGCCUCUAGUGCAGAGGUGGCACUGGGAGGACAGUGGUCCUUCAGAUCGCAUGUGCAGUUUGCAAUGGGAGGUGGGAAAACACUUCACAAAUGUAGGCACGACGGCAGCCCCGCAGCCCCUCUCCUCACCUCACCCCAGAGCUGCAGCUGCUCCCUUUGGGCUUCCUGCAGCAACACGUCCCAGCUCCCAGAGGUCUGCCAAAGCCCGGGGAUUAAUGCUUUAUCUGCGGAGGUUUUGGGGCUGAGGAGGUUUUUCUUCCCUCGCAGCUGCGCUCCACACGAAGCUCUGGGCUCCAUUUCCCAGCUCAGCCCCACGCUCCCCCCGCAGCCUUUCUUUCCCAAAGACCAGCAGCCAACCCAGGAGGGGUGGGGACCCCCGGCCCCCUAUUUCACCCCGUUUCCC
rnacentral:lncRNA from 1 species